UCCGUGCUCGUGGCCAGCGGUCCCGCGGGGCUUCUGAGCUCCUUCUGUUUCAGUCUUUCCGUGUUAGAGAGAGGUACUUACGUUCGUAACAUAAUUAAACUUUCCAAUCUCACCGUACUUUUGCUUUUAUUUUUGAAAGUAAAUGAAGUAGCGUCUUUUUUCCUGCGUUGGAUUCAUGCAGGCAAAAUUCAGUACACAUAGGAAUACAUUGAAAAUACAUGUAACAAUUUUUUCUUUGCUGCUGUUACAAGCCCUUUUUUUUCUUUAGGUCACGCGUGGGAAUAAUUUUUCCUGAAGCUGACAGAGUCAAUGGGAGAAAAUAUAGGGUUCCUUACAUAUACUUACACAGGGCGCUGGCCACAAAGCCAGCAGUAGGGAAGCGUUCUGGGUUUUGCAUUGGCCUCAGCUGUGUCUGAGCCCCAGAGCUGUACGCACACAGGCUGUGGUGUUCUUUCUGCCAGAGCAUCUCUUUGCCUGCUGUUGGAUCAGAACCUGUGCUACUGGCUUUCACAUUCCAGCACAUACUCAUGAAGAGACACUUCAGAUUUUGAAGCGAAUUUCCAGUGGAACACUUAAUGAAGUCCUGGUCUGCACAGAGGGCAGGAUGCCACAAGUGCACUUCAGGUCUUUCUACUGCAGAGCAAACUAAUUGGAGAAAGAAAGUUCUGCACCAAAGUUGCUGAGUUACAUGCUGAAGAAUUAUAAGGGUCAUCACUUCAUCCUAAGACAACAUUACUCUCCAGACUGAGACAGCAUGUUACCAUCAGAUCUGAAGAAGGUUGCUCUUUGCCACUUGCAGCCACGCUGGUCAAAUAAGCUCAUUCUGCACCACAGAUCAGGAUGUGCUGUGGAAACUUCUCAACCUGGAAGAAAGAGCUGACUCGUGAUGGCUCCAAUCUAUGGAGGUUGUGCCAAGCAAAAUAAGUAACACAGACUGUUCGAGCAAUUCUCAACUACAGUGGAGUCUCUGAAGGAGCAUAGCUGGCUGCACAUGAGAACAGGGAUGGCGUAAACAUGGACAAUACUGAACAAAACCUGGAGAAGCUCUAGGAACAUGAGAUGGAAAAGAUGGUCCUAUCUUGUUGAGCUCAGUCUCAUAUUGUCAUCAGACACAUCACAUAAAUGCAGCUAUCUUUGCCUGCAGACUGGCAGAGCAUUAACUCCUCAUGGAAUACCACUCCAGAAUGUCACUCUGCUGAAGGCUGAAGAUGUUCUUCUCCUGUCAAGGCUGAUUGUGUUUAUGACACCAUUCACUCCUAUCAUAUUCAUGUCCCCUCCCAUAAAUAGCUUAUUUCCCCAUACACCCAGUCUUCUUACUGAGAAAGAUAUCUCAAGAAGUACACGAUACUUAAGUCCUUGACUAAACUCUAGCAUGUUAAAAAUAAACAUAAUUCUUAA